GAUUAGUCUCUUCAUCUUCUCCCAAUUUCUUUAAAUUCAAAAUCUCUCUCUCCCUUUUCAAAAUCUUAUUUGAUUGAACUUAUUUUGUUCUAAACUUUGACCAUUUUGCAAAAAAGAUAGAAACUUUGGCCUUAUGCCAUUGAAUUUUCAAACUUCCUUUUCUUAAUCAAACUUGUAAAUAGACUUAACUAUACUUGACCUAAACAUUCAAAAAGCCAAAUAAGAACUAACUCAAUC
rnacentral:lncRNA from 1 species